UUAACAGAAUUUUCACUGUAUUUUUGAAGAAAGUUGUUUAGUGGAAGAUUUAGUUGGCUUUCUAUCAGCAGAUUUCAACACUUUUCAUGAGACUUUUUAUACUUGAGAGAAUUGAAAAUGUCAAGACUAAACAUUUUCUAACAUAAUUCUCUCCAACACUUUAAAAAUAUUGCUAAAACAUGUUAAAAAUACCACCAAAAAUGUAAGUUGCAGAUUUCCUUAAAUGGGUUGCAUAUCUCCAUGUGUUUUUAAAAGCAGAUUUAGAUAAAAAUCCUAGAAGACAUGUGAGAGAACUGUUUUGUAAAAUCCUGCUUACGUUUUGUGAGUUGUAAACUGAUAAAAGAAUGGCCUCCCUCAAGAGUCCUUUGUAACACUAGUGUGUGUUCACUUCAUUCUUUCCAAUUCCCUUGUCAUAAUGUGAGAUUUACCUUAAACUUCUAAUAAGUGCCAAGCUUGGGGGACAUAAUCUUUUAGGAAGUUACUUUUGUUGGUCUUCUCUGAAGUCUCCCCAGUGACUGUUUUCUUUCUUAAAAAUUAGACCCAAGGCUUGCUGGAGCGCAGGAAAAGUUAAGUUUCCAGUCUCCCACGGCAAUUUCAGUCUCCUAUAAACACCUCUUAUGGAAGAACAUUUUUUCGCCUAGACAAAGGCAAUUUCUGUAGUUUCAUCCAGCCCCAGUGAAAUGCAUCUCCCCCACCCCUUUUGGCUCCACUUAUUGGGAACGAAAGCUUACACUUGGGACUGAGAACUGAACGGCAGUGAUGUGUAAGGACUUCUUACUACCCGGUGCUCAGCCGCUGCGACCGCACAAGUAAAUAGAUCAAGUUUUCACCCAGCGACCACCAAGUGUCGGUCCGUGGGCAGGAACCUGAUGGAGGUGGCCGCCUUCUAGAGUCAAGAGGUCACGCCCGCCGACCCCACUCGGGAGGGCAGCUGGUCCUGGGGCCGCACCGCGGGCUGCCCCUGGACCCCUUUCGGCCUUCGCUGCCCAGGGGCUGUUCGGCCCCUCAAGGCAAGGAGUUCCCUGGCACUCGCAAGAGGCGAGGCUCCCGGAACCCCAGGCUCUCCUCGCCCAGAACUAGCGGCCAAGGAAGAAGUCCCAUUUAGGAACCUGCCGCGCCGCCAGAGCCGGAGGAGCCACUCGGCGUUUGGGGUCACCUCGGAGAAAGAAAUUUGUUAAAAGAAAAAAAAAAAAAAAAGAAAAAAGAAACAUAAAAGAGCGCGGCUGGCGGUGGCGGAGCGGGCAGAAUGAAGCUUCCAGAAACGCCCGCUUGUGCCGCGCUGGUUUCUAAGCUCGACCUGAGGAAGAUAAACGGGUGCCCCCAAGAGAACUCGGCAGGCAGAGUGGACGCCCGAGGAGAAAUAAAAGUGAUGCGAGGGAACUCCCCAGGCCCUCGCAGGAGGAAGGAGCGCGGGGCGCGCGGGACGCACCCGCGGGGCCGCCGCACGCUCGUCGGCUCCCGUAGCGCGGACGGAGAGAAGGACAGGCGGACGCGCGAGCCGGCGCGACGGACUCACCUUCGGGGUUGGCGCUGAUGAAGACCCGCACACUGCGGCCCGCGGGCACGAGAUCCCUGCAGAUGUGCCUGGAAAAACAGCAGAAGAUGGCCCAAGUGCUUGCAUCCCUGGAAUCCAUUUGGAAGACUGAGAUGGAGUUCUGGGAUCUUGGUUUCAGCCUGACCCAGCCUAGACCUUCGCAGCCAUUUGGGUUGUGAAUCAGUGGAUGGAAGAUAUCUCUCUCUCUCUCUCUCUCUCUCUCUCUCUCUCUCUCUCGUUAUCUCUACCUUUUAAAUAAAUAAAUAAAUCUUAAAAUGUAUACAUAUAAAAUUAUGGACAAAUGGUUUUUCCCCCAUAAAAUAAGUGUAGUGCCACUUUUUGUCCUAAAAGUAUGUAUUAGCAUCUACAUAUUAUGAAACAUUGUAUACAAAAAUUUUAAAGAUACUAAGUGCAUAUCUGCAUUAGUCAAGAAUCUAGAGGUAAAUAACCAGAGCUACAACAUGAUUUCUUUUCAGAAUAUAGGAGUUUAUACAAACAUCUAGACAGAAAUGAAAUUGAACUUAAAGGAAAACUAGAACUAGGAAUUGGACAUGUCUUUGGGAAAAAGAACAAUGUUGUAUUUCAGUGUCUUAUUUCUGACUCUGAGCAUUAUGGACAUUGUGUGUGUGCAUGAAACAUUCCUGCUGUCACACAACUUUUACAUUUGAUACUCAUAAUUAAGUUAUAGCCAGCCCGUGGCUCAGGCCACAUGGAAAGACUGACCAAUUUUUUUCUUGAAAUAUUUAUAUGAGUUAGCAGACAGAACAAGUAAUUGAGUAAGUACAGUUUGUGUUGAUUUUGAGCUGGAAUAUACUUCGUAUUAGCAAGAACCUCAUAGUGUUUACUCAUCCAAACUGAUAUUUCUUUGGAAAUAUUUCUGUAAUUCUUUCCUUGCACUUAAGCAACUUGCCAUAUUAUAGUUAAGGGGAGUAGAACUAAGUAGGAAGGAGUACAUCAAAAUAGAAUUUUUCUGCUUUCUCUGAUUUUGUUAAUAUGGAUAAGACAAUAAAAUUUACUAAACAUGCA